rnacentral:sRNA from 1 species
AAAACAGUGUUAACAACUGUUUAUUUCACAAAGGUUCCUAUUGUAUGGUCAACAAACAUUAGGUGUCAAAAACAACAUUUUAUCACAUGCUUUUGAUAUUGAGAAUGAUAUAAAGUGCCAUUUUUAAAACCUGUUUUCCAAAAACUGGUUUUCAAAGCCAAAUUAAUUCUUGUUAGUACUUUGCUUUUAUUUAUUCGUUGGUAUCAAUUUACAUGGAUUUGGUGAAAAUUACAGUUUCAAGGAUUUCAGUGAUCCUCUCAAUACAAUAUGCAGUAGAAAUUGCACUUUAAUGAACAUGUAAUUUUAUGGAUGGUGUCAACAAAGAAAUCCAUGAAAAUUGGUAUUCAACAAAUAUUGAUGAAAUUUCAGCAUUGUGUUUAAUUCUAUAAUCCAUUGCAAUAUCAGAAAAAUGCUGUAAUUUCUUCCCUCAUCGUAUCUGAACACAGGAUGUGAAAUCUAGUCUAAUAGCGCAUCGGUGUAUGAAGUUCUCUAAAACAACAAUUUUUUUUAUACAGUUGCAGUUUUUUCUUUAUAUAGUUUAAUCAACAUCUCUGUUUUGAUCAACAGAGUUCAUUUUCGUUAAAAUAUAUUUAAUUCUCAUUCCACAGUUAUUGAGUUGUGUGAUUUUAAGGGUAUGGUGUUUUUAACCUUUUUUUCACAUUUUAUGUAUACUUUUGAUCUGGUAGUCAUUUUUUAUAGCAGAAGUAUUAUCAUUUCAAACUGAAGUACCGUUUCACCCUGCAGAAUUGCAUCAAUAUGUUUAUACAUGUAUAUGAAGAUGUUCCUCUCAAAUGCAAGAUGUGCAUUUUUGCAAAAUGAUUCAUAUGGGUAUUGAACGUUUAAACAGUUUUAUGUCUAUAAAAGGGUUCAGUUUG